rnacentral:rRNA from 1 species
AGUGAACGCUGGCGGUAGGCCUAACACAUGCAAGUCGAACGGCAGCACAGUAAGAGCUUGCUCUUACGGGUGGCGAGUGGCGGACGGGUGAGGAAUACAUCGGAAUCUACUUUUUCGUGGGGGAUAACGUAGGGAAACUUACGCUAAUACCGCAUACGACCUACGGGUGAAAGCAGGGGAUCUUCGGACCUUGCGCGAUUGAAUGAGCCGAUGUCGGAGUAGCUAGUUGGCGGGGUAAAGGCCCACCAAGGCGACGAUCCGUAGCUGGUCUGAGUGGAUGAUCAGCCACACUGGAACUGGAACACGGUCCAGACUCCUACGGGAGGCAGCAGUGGGGAAUAUUGGACAAUGGGCGCAAGCCUGAUCCAGCCAUACCGCGUGGGUGAAGAAGGCCUUCGGGUUGUAAAGCCCUUUUGUUGGGAAAGAAAAGCAGCAGGUUAAUACCCCGCUGUUCUGACGGUACCCAAAGAAUAAGCACCGGCUAACUUCGUG